GAUGAACGCUGGCGGCGUGCCUAAUACAUGCAAGUCGAGCGAACGGACGAGAAGCUUGCUUCUCUGAUGUUAGCGGCGGACGGGUGAGUAACACGUGGAUAACCUACCUAUAAGACUGGGAUAACUUCGGGAAACCGGAGCUAAUACCGGAUAAUAUUUUGAACCGCAUGGUUCAAAAGUGAAAGACGGUCUUGCUGUCACUUAUAGAUGGAUCCGCGCUGUAUUAGCUAGUUGGUAAGGUAACGGCUUACCAAGGCAACGAUGCAUAGCCGACCUGAGAGGGUGAUCGGACACACUGGAACUGAGACACGGUCCAGACUCCUACGGGAGGCAGCAGUAGGGAAUCUUCCGCAAUGGGCGAAAGCCUGACGGAGCAACGCCGCGUGAGUGAUGAAGGUCUUCGGAUCGUAAAACUCUGUUAUUAGGGAAGAACAUAUGUGUAAGUAACUGUGCACAUCUUGACGGUACCUAAUCAGAAAGCCACGGCUAACUACGUG
rnacentral:rRNA from 1 species